rnacentral:rRNA from 1 species
CCUACGGGGGACAGCAGUCGAGAAUGAUUCACAAUGGGGGAAACCCUGAUGGGGCGACGCCGCGUGGGGGAAUGAAGGUCUGCGGAUUGUAAACCCCUGUCAUGUGGGAGCAAAUUAAAAAGAUAGUACCACAAGAGGAAGAGACGGCUAACUCUGUGCCAGCAGCCGCGGUAAUACAGAGGUCUCAAGCGUUGUUCGGAAUCACUGGGCGUAAAGCGUGCGUAGGCUGUUUCGUAAGUCGUGUGUGAAAGGCGCGGGCUCAACCCCCGGACGGCACAUGAUACUGCGAGACUAGAGUAAUGGAGGGGGAACCGGAAUUCUCGGUGUAGCAGUGAAAUGCGUAGAUAUCGAGAGGAACACUCGUGGCGAAGGCGGGUUCCUGGACAUUAACUGACGCUGAGGCACGAAGGCCAGGGGAGCGAAAAGGAUUAGAUACCCUUGUAGUC